AAAAAAUCCCCUCUGUGCCAGCCGGCGCCCGACGGCCCGAUUCAGCGCCUCCCGCCGGAGACCGCCCGCCGCCGACGAGGGGCACGCCGGUGAUCUCCCCCAGCCCGCCUGCCCCUCUUUCAUAUCCGUUCUACUCCUUCUCUCUCGGCCCCCUCGAGCUCGCCUCGAUCCAUGGCCUCUCCUUAAACCUAGCUCCGGUCACGGCCACGACCGGCUUCGCAGCUCCCGGCCGCCAUCGCCUGCGCCUCCCCCCGUGUCUCCCUCACCUCGCCUGUGCAGCACCGUGGUUGUACAUCGCCAGCGCCAUCAGCUACAGCCCCGCUCUAAUCCACCUGCAAGCCGUGGACAGCGGCCUGGCUGCUUACUCGUCGCUGGCCUACCAGUACCUCCACCAACAUCUCAUCCAUCUAGAUCAGGGGCGCUUUAAUUUCAGCAGAUUUUCUUCUUCUUUGCAACAUGGUAAUUUUCUGGGAUAGAGUCUUGAUUUUAAUUAUUGCAGAAUGGCAAUCUGCUUUAUGUUGGCUUUAUCAUCUCAGGAUAAUCCAGAUGUUUUCCUAUGCCUUGAAGAGUUGUUGAUGGAUGAUAUACAUAGGCUACCAGGUGGUAGCUCCAAUGUUGCAACUGAGGCCAGCAAUGGGUGCUUCUCCUGGGAUGGCUCACCUGAGAUACCAACGUUGAAGGAUCUGAAUUUUCAAGCUCGGCAAGGCAUGCGUGUUGCACUUUGUGGGACGGUCGGCUCUGGAAAAUCAAGUUUGAUCACUUGAAUUCUUGGUAUGGAGCCAAAGCUAUUAGGAGAGGCCAAGACUUGCGGAACAAUGGCAUAUGUCAGCCACAAGGCAUGGAUACAGAGCGGCAAAAUUCAGGAUAACAUACUGCUCGGCAAGGAGAUGGAGAGUGAGGAGUAUGACAGGGUCCUUGAGUGGUAUUCGCUAAAGAAAUACUUGGAGAUCAAAAUCAUUGGAGAGUGAGGCUGGACUCUUAGUGGCAGGCAGAAACAAAGGAUUCAGAUAGCCCGAGCAUUGUGAUGUAUGCUGACAACUAUUUUGUUCCAUGAUCCGUUCAACGCAGUUGAUGCUCAUACAGGAUCCUAAUUUUCCAAGAAUCUUUGCUGAACUCCCUUGGUGUUAGUUGUUCUUGAACCGAAGAAACGUGCGGUCUGGAAUUGACAUCAUUCAGUUCCUUGAUGAAAACAAAGUUGCAUGUCCUUUUAGUCUAAACGUAAUAUUAUGCCUUGGAGCAUAUGAUGGGGGUCAAAUCGCAGUUAUGAACUGCAUUGCACGUGCAUGAAGGCGAAUGAUUUUUCUGGAUGCCAUUGCCAUCUGAUCGAUGGUUUCGCUGCGGUCGUUGGGAGAAAUAUCAUCGACGGUAGGGGAAAAGCGGGUAGGCUGAGGCGGGCACCCACACCAAGCGGCCGACCCACGAAGGCGGCCAUGCAGCUCCGCCUCGUGCCUCUCUCCCCAUCUCUAUGUUCGUGUCAAACCCAGCGCAAGGUAGAGGCAGAAGAGGAGGCCGGGAAGAGAAGCUGCAAGAGAAAGUUGUUGAAGUGGAAGAAGGUGAACCUGUAGAAGAGCUGAAAAAAGGACGUGGUAGAGACAAGGAAGCAAAGCCUAAACAGUAUAAUGAUUACUACCUCGCCCAGCCGCGCAUCCAAGACGCGGCGCUUGUUGGAAAGCUGGUCAAGUAGGUCCUCGACUGCGAGAUUUAGCUGGUUGAUCCUGUGCAUUAGCCUAAUUGUUACAAUAAACGGACUUACAACAAUGAUGCUUUCUAUAUUGAAUUCUUAUAUUGGACCUCACCAUUGCUUAGUUUCCUUUCCUGAUGUCAAGACACAAAGAAUUUGAGAUUCAAUUUAUCUUUUUUAGUUUUCACACUAGAGUGCUUCAUUUAUAUGUAUUACUGUAGACACAUGGGAAUCCUCAAGGUGUCAGGCUUGUUCUUAUUAUUGCUCAUGCAACC